rnacentral:rRNA from 1 species
CCUACGGGUGGCAGCAGUGGGGAAUAUUGGACAAUGGGGGGAACCCUGAUCCAGCCAUGCCGCGUGUGUGAAGAAGGCCCUCGGGUUGUAAAGCACUUUCAGUGAGGAAGAACGCCUGGUGGUUAAUACCCAUCAGGAAAGACAUCACUCACAGAAGAAGCACCGGCUAACUCCGUGCCAGCAGCCGCGGUAAUACGGAGGGUGCGAGCGUUAAUCGGAAUUACUGGGCGUAAAGCGCGCGUAGGUGGCUUGAUAAGCCGGUUGUGAAAGCCCCGGGCUCAACCUGGGAACGGCAUCCGGAACUGUCAAGCUAGAGUGCAGGAGAGGAAGGUAGAAUUCCCGGUGUAGCGGUGAAAUGCGUAGAGAUCGGGAGGAAUACCAGUGGCGAAGGCGGCCUUCUGGACUGACACUGACACUGAGGUGCGAAAGCGUGGUAGCAAACAGGAUUAGAUACCCCUGUAGUC